UUGGUCAAUUGCUGCAGUAAUGUAGAGGAAAGUCCGCGCUAGCACCAUCUGCGAUGAUGGUAACGUUCAUGUUAGAUCAAAUAAAUCUAAGCCUAGACGACAAGUGCCACAGAGACGAGCUUAUUAAGUUAAGGUGAAACGCGGUAAACUCCGUGAGCUAGAAACCCAAAUUUUGGUAGGGGAAUUUGCAUUAGAGAAUUGAAUCGAUUGCAAGAGGGAAACCUAGAUAAAUAAUUGACACUCUUUUAGAGAACAGAACGCGGCUUAUAG
rnacentral:RNase_P_RNA from 1 species